rnacentral:rRNA from 1 species
GACGAACGCUGGCAGCGUGCCUAACACAUGCAAGUCGAACGGCAGCACAGGAGAGCUUGCUCUCUGGGUGGCGAGUGGCGGACGGGUGAGGAAUACAUCGGAAUCUACUCUGUCGUGGGGGAUAACGUAGGGAAACUUACGCUAAUACCGCAUACGACCUACGGGUGAAAGCAGGGGACCUUCGGGCCUUGCGCGAUUGAAUGAGCCGAUGUCGGAUUAGCUAGUUGGCGGGGUAAAGGCCCACCAAGGCGACGAUCCGUAGCUGGUCUGAGAGGAUGAUCAGCCACACUGGAACUGAGACACGGUCCAGACUCCUACGGGAGGCAGCAGUGGGGAAUAUUGGACAAUGGGCGCAAGCCUGAUCCAGCCAUACCGCGUGGGUGAAGGAGGCCUUCGGGUUGUAAAGCCCUUUUGUUGGGAAAGAAAUCCAGCUGGCUAAUACCCGGUUGGGAUGACGGUACCCAAAGAAUAAGCACCGGCUAACUUCGUACCAGCCGCCGCCGUAACAC